AACGAACGCUGGCGGCAUGCCUAACACAUGCAAGUCGAACGAGACCUUCGGGUCUAGUGGCGCACGGGUGCGUAACGCGUGGGAACCUGCCCUUAGGUUCGGAAUAACUCCCCGAAAGGGGUGCUAAUACCGGAUAAUGUCUUCGGACCAAAGAUUUAUCGCCUUUGGAUGGGCCCGCGUUGGAUUAGCUAGUUGGUAGGGUAAAAGCCUACCAAGGCGACGAUCCAUAGCUGGUCUGAGAGGAUGAUCAGCCACACUGGGACUGAGACACGGCCCAGUCUCCGACGGGAGGCAGCAGUGGGGAAUAUUGGACAAUGGGCGAAAGCCUGAUCCAGCAAUGCCGCGUGAGUGAUGAAGGCCUUAGGGUUGUAAAGCUCUUUUACCCGGGAUGAUAAUGACAGUACCGGGAGAAUAAGCUCCGGCUAACUCCGUG
rnacentral:rRNA from 1 species